rnacentral:rRNA from 1 species
AUUGAACGCUGACGGCAGGCCUAACACAUGCAAGUCGAAUGGUAACAGGAAACAGCUUGCUGUUUCGCUGACGAGUGGCGGACGGGUGAGUAAUGUCUGGGAAACUGCCUGAUGGAGGGGGAUAACUACUGGAAACGGUAGCUAAUACCGCAUAACGUCGCAAGACCAAAGAGGGGGACCUUCGGGCCUCUUGCCAUCAGAUGUGCCCAGAUGGGAUUAGCUAGUAGGUGGGGUAACGGCUCACCUAGGCGACGAUCCCUAGCUGGUCUGAGAGGAUGACCAGCCACACUGGAACUGAGACACGGUCCAGACUCCUACGGGAGGCAGCAGUGGGGAAUAUUGCACAAUGGGCGCAAGCCUGAUGCAGCCAUGCCGCGUGUAUGAAGAAGGCCUUCGGGUUGUAAAGUACUUUCAGCGGGGAGGAAGGGAGUAAAGUUAAUACCUUUGCUCAUUGACGUUACCCGCAGAAGAAGCACCGGCUAACUCCGUG